GACGAACGCUGGCGGCGUGCCUAAUACAUGCAAGUCGAACGCUUUUUCUUUCACCGGAGCUUGCUCCAUCGAAAGAAAAAGAGUGGCGAACGGGUGAGUAACACGUGGGUAACCUGCCCAUCAGAAGGGGAUAACACUUGGAGACAGGUGCUAAUACCGUAUAACACUAUUUUCCGCAUGGAAGAAAGUUGAAAGGCGCUUUUGCGUCACUGAUGGAUGGACCCGCGGUGCAUUAGCUAGUUGGUGAGGUAACGGCUCACCAAGGCAACGAUGCAUAGCCGACCUGAGAGGGUGAUCGGCCACACUGGGACUGAGACACGGCCCAGACUCCUACGGGAGGCAGCAGUAGGGAAUCUUCGGCAAUGGACGAAAGUCUGACCGAGCAACGCCGCGUGAGUGAAGAAGGUUUUCGGAUCGUAAAACUCUGUUGUUAGAGAAGAACAAGGAUGAGAGUAAAAUGUUCAUCCCUUGACGGUAUCUAACCAGAAAGCCACGGCUAACUACGUGCCAGCCGCCGCGGUAA
rnacentral:rRNA from 1 species